UUGACAUGUCUUCCUUGUCAUGUAUAUUGAUCAAAGAGGCCCAGGUUGCUAGCGCAUCCGAAAAAUCAUUCCUAUUCCGAGGAAUGUGGAGGAAGGAUUUUUUCUUCAAACUCCGAAGCCAUCUAUAGAACCUGCCGAUGGUAAGGCAACAACUGUAGAACCUGUUGAAGAGAUUUUUCUUUUCUUUUCUUUUUUCUUUUUUUUUAUUUUUU
rnacentral:lncRNA from 1 species